rfam:TPA: Bos taurus chromosome 9, whole genome shotgun sequence.
UCCCUUGAGGCUUAGCUGGUAAAGAAUCUGCCUUCAAUGUGGGAGACCUGGGUUCGAUCCCUGGUAUGGGAA